rnacentral:rRNA from 1 species
UUGUUUUUGCAUAUUCAAAUAGGGAGGAAAAGGAAACCAACAGGGAUUGCCUCAGUAACGGCGAGUGAAGCGGCAAAAGCUCAAAUUUGAAAUCCCCCCGGGGAGUUGUAAUUUGAAGAUUGCGUCUUGGAGGCGACCGUGUCUAUGUUCCUUGGAACAGGACGUCACAGAGGGUGAGAAUCCCGUGCGGCACGGCCCCCGGCUCCUUAUAAGGCGCUCUCGACGAGUCGAGUUGUUUGGGAAUGCAGCUCAAAGUGGGUGGUAAAUUCCAUCUAAAGCUAAAUACAGGCGAGAGACCGAUAGCGAACAAGUACAGUGAUGGAAAGAUGAAAAGCACUUUGAAAAGAGAGUGAAACAGCACGUGAAAUUGUUGAAAGGGAAGGGCAUGCCGUCAGAUUGUCAGUGUGGGUAAGAAGCGGGGUACAAAGACUGUGGAACGUGGCCCUCGGGUGUUAUAGCCGCAGUUCAUGCCCCGUCUCUUUCCGAGGCCUGCUUUGAGGACACCGACGUAAUGACGGUACGCCGCCCGUCUUAAAAAACCGGACCAAA